rnacentral:rRNA from 1 species
UCCUACGGGAGGCAGCAGUGGGGAAUAUUGCACAAUGGGGGAAACCCUGAUGCAGCCAUGCCGCGUGUAUGAAGAAGGCCUUCGGGUUGUAAAGCACUUUCAGUUGUGAGGAAAAGUUAGUAGUUAAUACCUGCUAGCCGUGACGUUAACAACAGAAGAAGCACCGGCUAACUCCGUGCCAGCAGCCGCGGUAAUACGGAGGGUGCGAGCGUUAAUCGGAAUUACUGGGCGUAAAGCGCACGCAGGCGGUUUGUUAAGCUAGAUGUGAAAGCCCCGGGCUCAACCUGGGAUGGUCAUUUAGAACUGGCAGACUAGAGUCUUGGAGAGGGGAGUGGAAUUCCAGGUGUAGCGGUGAAAUGCGUAGAUAUCUGGAGGAACAUCAGUGGCGAAGGCGACUCCCUGGCCAAAGACUGACGCUCAUGUGCGAAAGUGUGGGUAGCGAACAGGAUUAGAUACCCUGGUAGUCCACACCGUAAACGCUGUCUACUAGCUGUGUGUGCCUUUAAGGCGUGCGUAGCGAAGCUAACGCGCUAAGUAGACCGCCUGGGGAGUACGGCCGCAAGGUUAAAACUCAAAUGAAUUGACGG